GGAUAGCUCAAUUGGUAGAGCAUGACAUUCUUAAUCUCAAGCUUGUGGGUUCAAGGCCUCCAUUGGGCA